rnacentral:misc_RNA from 1 species
UUUCCGUAGGUGAACCUGCGGAAGGAUCAUUAUUGUAUAACCGAGCUUCGAGGCCUGACCCUGACCCGAUAUCUCGUGCACGCCCUAGUGCCCUCACGCACACCCAGCCCACCCCUAUCUGCACCACCUCGUUGGUCCCCCUCGGGCCUGUCCGGAGGGGGGCUUACGUUUUCACACAAACUUUUUAUGCAGUGUAGAAUGAAUUUUUUGUUUUUUCGAUUACGGAAUCAAUACAACUUUCAACAACGGAUCACUUGGCCUCCCCAUCGACGAAGAACG